rnacentral:rRNA from 1 species
CCUACGGGAGGCAGCAGUGAGGAAUAUUGGUCAAUGGGCGCGAGCCUGAACCAGCCAAGUAGCGUGAAGGAUGACUGCCCUACGGGUUGUAAACUUCUUUUAUACAGGAGUAAAGUUAGGCACGUGUGCCUUUUUGUAUGUACUUUAUGAAUAAGGAUCGGCUAACUCCGUGCCAGCAGCCGCGGUAAUACGGAGGAUCCGAGCGUUAUCCGGAUUUAUUGGGUUUAAAGGGAGCGUAGAUGGGUUGUUAAGUCAGUUGUGAAAGGUUGCGGCUCAACCGUAAAAUUGCAAUUGAUACUGGCAGGCUUGAGUACAGUUGAGGUAGGCGGAAUGUGUGGUGUAGCGGUGAAAUGCUUAGAUAUCACGAAGAACGCCGAUUGCGAAGGCAGCUUACUAAACUGCCACUGACAUUGAUGCGCGAAAGUGUGGGGAUCAAACAGGAUUAGAUACCCCAGUAGUC